UACGUAGGGGGCAAGCGUUGUCCGGAAUUAUUGGGCGUAAAGCGCACGCAGGCGGUUCGCCAAGUUCGGAGUGACAAUCACCGGCUUAACCGGUGAACGACUUCGAAAACUGGUGGACUUGAGAGCGAGAGAGGGACAUGGAACUCCGGGUGGAGCAGUGAAAUGCGUAGAGAUCCGGAAGAACACCAAAGGCGAAGGCAGUGUCCUGGCUCGUUUCUGACGCUCAGGUGCGAAAGCCAGGGGAGCGAACGGG
rnacentral:rRNA from 1 species